UACGUAGGUGGCAAGCGUUGUCCGGAAUUAUUGGGCGUAAAGCGCGCGCAGGCGGUUCUUUAAGUCUGAUGUGAAAGCCCACGGCUCAACCGUGGAGGGUCAUUGGAAACUGGGGAACUUGAGUGCAGAAGAGGAAAGUGGAAUUCCACGUGUAGCGGUGAAAUGCGUAGAGAUGUGGAGGAACACCAGUGGCGAAGGCGACUUUCUGGUCUGUAACUGACACUGAGGCGCGAAAGCGUGGGGAGCGAACAGG
rnacentral:rRNA from 1 species